AUUGAACGCUGGCGGAAUGCUUUACACGUGCAAGUCGAACGGCAGCACGGACUUCGGUCUGGUGGCGAGUGGCGAACGGGUGAGUAACAUAUCGGAACGUAUCCAAUAAUGGGGGAUAACGAGUCGAAAGAUUCGCUAAUACCGCAUACGCCAUACGGGGGAAAGCUGGGGACCUUCGGGCCUGGCGUUAACGGAGCGGCCGAUAUCUGAUUAGCUAGUUGGGGAGGUAAAGGCACACCAAGGCGACGAUCAGUAGCUGGUCUGAGAGGACGACCAGCCACACUGGAACUGAGACACGGUCCAGACUCCUACGGGAGGCAGCAGUGGGGAAUUUUGGACAAUGGGCGCAAGCCUGAUCCAGCCAUUCCGCGUGAGUGAAGAAGGCCUUCGGGUUGUAAAGCUCCUUCGCAAGGGAAGAAAACUUAGCCACUAACAUUGGUUGAGGUUGACGGUACCUUGAUAAGAAGCACCGGCUAACUACGUGCCAGCCGCCGCUGUAA
rnacentral:rRNA from 1 species